rnacentral:antisense_RNA from 2 species
CUAUAUGGUGGCUGUGUUUGGGACGCCCUCGGGCGUGCCGGGAUGUGAGCCUCAUCGGUUGACCAACCCGAACACAGUCCGCCUCCUAU